rnacentral:misc_RNA from 1 species
GAUGAAGAACGUAGCGAAAUGCGAUACUUGGUGUGAAUUGCAGAAUCCCGUGAACCAUCGAGUCUUUGAACGCAAGUUGCGCCCGAAGCCACUAGGCCGACGGCACGCCUGCCUGGGCGUCACACGUCGUUGCCCCCCCCCAUCUACUCCUUCGGGAUUGCGGGGGGCGGAUGAUGGCCUCCCGUGCGCCUAGCCGCGCGGUUGGCAUAAAUACCAAGUCCUCGGCUACGCACGCCACGACAAUCGGUGGUUGCGAAACCUCGGUUGCCCGUCGUGUGCGUUCGUCGCGCAUCGAGGGCUCGAAAAAAUGCUCGGCUCCGGCUCGGCUUUCAACGCGACCCCAGGUCAGGCGGGGUUACCCGCUGAAUUUAAGCAUAUCAAUAAGCGGAGGA